GUCUACGGCCAUACCACCCUGAACGUGCCCGAUCUUGUCUGAUCUCAGAAGCUAAGCAGGGUCGGGCCUGUUAGUACUUGGAUGGGAGACCACCUGGGAAUGCCUGGUGCUGUAGGCU
ensembl:rRNA 5S_rRNA 5S ribosomal RNA